ACAUCCGGGUCCCGCACUUGGGUAGCAAUAGCGCCACGGAUCUGGGACGGAGUGGCUGGAAAGCGAGAUUCUUUCAGAAGACCCUGUUGUUCUAAGGAUCAACAUAAAUACAACUAAAUUAUUGACUCAAAUGAAAGAAAGCUCUCAGCUGCUCCACCGGUUUCUCCCAUUUCCAAGUGGCUCCUGAAUUUGUAUGUGGUGGAUCCAAAGCUGGGCAAUGCACAAGAGAUAACAGAUGCACAGUGCCAGUGGGUUAGCUGUGGGCACAAGAACGACAGUGUCAACUGUGAUAAAAUGUGAUAGCAGCAUCAAAUUGACCAAAACAUUUUUAGCAUGUCUGGUGUAGACAUUUUUACUAAGACACAAUAUAAAGUAUGUGGAGAUAUUAUAAUUUUUCCUCAUAUGAAACACUAAGAUGACAAUUCAUAAAUUAAAGACCAGUCAAGAAGUUUGUCUACUCUAGAAUAAUACUGGAGAGCUGCUGCAAUUCUUAUCUCCACUAUUCUUUUAGCCAAUGCCAUUAUCCUGAGUCUGUGAGCUGUAAAAUUAUUAAUGAUCAUGUUUAUUUCCACACAAAUUGCUGGGAGAAUGGGAAUUUACUUACACUAAUGGCAGCACCAGGGAAAUAAUGCACCCAUGACUAAACACCAAGGUAAUCAUCAGAGGGUGCAAUGGAUGUUUAUAUAAAAAAUCAGAGACUGGAAAGUGAGAUCUAAGAAAGAGAGGAAGGAGGGAAAGGAAAUUUUUAAAAAGGAAAGAAAGAAAAGGCAAGAAGUAGAAAAACCCUCAUUGUAAUAUGAACUAAAGCAAGAGGCUAGGACAUGACCUUUGCAUCACCAACAAUCAUGUGCUUCAAUUUCCACAAUAUCUGAGUAAGACCAUGUUCUUUCAGUAAUGAUGCUUCACCAUGUUCUGCAUUUUGUUCCUUUGAAAAUGCACCUGACAACAUCUGACAUCUCAAGAUCAGUGAUACACAAAAGUGAGAGCAAUGCUCACUUUGUAGCUGCUACAGCUACAAAGGCAAUCCCUUGAAAUGAGAAAAUGGGAAAUUACCCCUUUAAAAGCAAGGAACUUGAACAAUACUUGUUUCUUUUUGUUUAUGGUGUCAACAAGUGCUGAGUCGUAAUUUACCCUGGAUAGACCACCCAUGAUGAGAGAAGCUGAAACACCUAAGUUGAUGGAUCAUGUGCCAGCUCCAUCAACUAUUCCCCAGCUCAGGAAGGCAAACAACAGCCAUGUCAGUUAAAGACCUCCAAAUAGUGACAUGAAAAUUCAUCAUUAUUAUCUCUAUUUGGAAAGAGGAAACUUUAGUUUUCACUCGUGUUUAUGUCUGUGAUUUUUAGGGGUCUGUGGGAAAUGCACCUUCAGAAUUUUUGUGAUAUUUCCAGCAUGUACUUGUCAUUAAGAUUCAGUCAAGAUAAUAAAAAAUCUGUUCUUGUA